CAUGACAUCUACCAUCAGCACCAAACGAUGUCGUAUCCUCAAAAUCCCACAAUUCCACCGCACCAGAUCCUUGCUUUCACCAAUCUAUCAGCACCGAACGGUGUCGUAUCAUCAAAAUCCUAUUUCCCCCCUCAUCUUCUUCUUCAAUUCGCGACCGUACUAUGUACUUAAUGUGGUCUCUGUUCUCCAACCGGCGUCUGGAUUUUGAUUCCGAUUCUGAUGAAGGUGGAUUUGAAGACGUUGAAGAUGAAGUGAGCCCUAAGAUGACCGAUUGUUACAUUGCUGUUCCGACGAUUGCUAAAGAAGUUCAUCCGUUUGCUGAUGAAGUUGAUGCGAUGAUGCAAAUGAAGGUGUUGCUGGUGAUCAUGCUGUAAAGAAAAGAAAGGUUUCAAACAAAGCUAUUGCUAUUCCUGUUGUGGAAGUUGAGCCACCUGGAUGUUCAUACAAUCCAUCAUCUGAAAGUCAUCAGGUCACAUGGUUAUAUCUUUCUUGAUUAUAUAUAUAUUGUUACAUACUUAUAUUCAUUUAGUGGCAUGCUAAAGUUAUUCACCCUUUUAUUUGUUUCAUACCUAUUCCUUUAACUGUUGAUGAGGCAGUUAUUGAUGAGGAAGAUGUGGUAUCUUUAAUUUUUUAGAAUUAGGUUCGUAUAGAUACCCACGUCAAGUGGAUUUUUAAUGUUAGAAAACUUUAGUGAUGAUGUUGUUGAAGGGAAGGAUAAAAAAACAAAUUAUUUUUUAAAGCGACUUUUAUAAAAACAAACGGUUGAUGAAAAUACAUAUUUUUUUUUGUAUAUUUAAAACGUAUUUUAUUAAAUAAUAAUUGUGAAAAUAACGAAAUAAUAAUAAAUAAAACUUAAGUAAUUGCAUUAAUAAUUUCUUAAAUAUUAAAAGAAUUUGUAAUUAUCAAAAACAACCCCUAAGGUAUGUAAUAACCUAAUUACCCUUACACUUAACUGCAAAAAAGUAACAAAGUUAGUGUCGGGGGCCAAAACCAUAAUAAAAUGCAACCUCAGACCGUCUUUUUUUUUUACCGUCUGAUAUGUUAAAAGAUUCCUUUUUUGGGCUGAAAUGGUUAAACUAACUAGACCACAGGGGCCAAAACAGUAAUUUACUCUUUUACAAAUCAUUGUUGGGACUAAUCUUGUCAUAACUCAAAAGUUGGAGGAUGCUAAGUGGAAUAGUUUAUUUUUUAGUGGAAGAUUAAUUAUUUAUGGUAGUUUUAUUUUAUUAUUAUUUAGGUUUCCUAAUUUUAGUCUAGGUAUGUUUCUUGGGCAUCAAGGUUGUUUAGUAUAAAUAGGGGUUGUAUGUUUAGAGUUUAUGCACCUUCAAUUUUAAUAAACCGAACAUGAUCAAAUGUGAUGUCAUUAUUAUUCAAUGAUGACAUCAUAGGUAUAUUAUAUUUCUAAGUUAUCAAAAGCGCUCGCCUGGUGCGCCUAGGUGCAAUUUUCAGGCGAGGCGCAACCAUACCGCCUUGUGCCGUUAAAGUCGCUGUUCUGGUAAGCUUCCGGCCAAAAAUCGACUUUCCGGCGACUAUUCGGCCAGAUUCCUGCCCAAUUACCGGCGAACUUCUACAAGUUAGUGCCACUUUCCUUAUGGACAGAUUUGUGGUUUUGGAUGGAUCAACGACAGAAAUUUGAAGAGGAGAGGAAGAAAAAGAUGAAAGCAUGAGAGACAGCAUGACUUGCAAGAAAGGAGACUGUGUUUUGACUUUUGAAGAGGAGAGCAGAAUUUUUGCUUAAAAACUUACUUUAACAGUGUUUUGCAGAAAAAGAUAGGCACUGUGCACUGUGCAGAAAGGAGACUGUGUCAACAGCUAC